rnacentral:rRNA from 1 species
UACGUAGGGUCCGAGCGUUGUCCGGAAUUACUGGGCGUAAAGCGCGCGCAGGCGGCCCGCGAGGUGUCACGUGAAAGCCCCGGGCUCAACCCGGGAGGGUCGUGGCAAACCGGCGGGCUUGAGGCCGGUAGAGGUGGGUGGAACUCCUGGUGGAGUGGUGAAAUGCGUAGAGAUCAGGAAGAACACCCGUGGCGAAGGCGGCCCACUGGGCCGGUACUGACGCUGAGGCACGAAGGCCAGGGGAGCAAACGGG